rnacentral:lncRNA from 1 species
CUACCUGACAUCUGUAUUAUUUGCAGAAAAGAUCUGAAAGCAUUCCUGAGAUUUUAUUCAACCAGAAGAGUCAGGCCAGAAACGGUUUAAAUCUAUUGUGUUAGAAAAAGAAAGGAAAACUGGGAUGUGGAAGACAAGGAGAGCUGUGUGUGCUUCACCUCCUCUUGGACUGCGUGUGAAUGUGUUCCCUGGACUCACAUGGGGACAACGAUGGGAGAAGGCGAGAAGUGUGUUCCCUAUAGGCACAGCUCUGCGGCCAGGCACGACCAGCCCUCUCUCCUUCAGGCCCAAGCUCCCAGGAAGCAGCACAUGCCAAGCGGAGCAGAAGACAGUGGCAAAAGUCAGGAGAUUGCUCCUUUCUGGACUGGGCAGCCUAUGUAGCAAAUUCCAGCCUUCUGCUUAUGGAGCAGCAGUGUGCCUAGAACAACUAUUUUCUGCUGGAAAUGCCCGUGUUCAGCCGAGUGUUUCCUCUGCUGUCCCAGGAGGUGUGUGCACAGGUGCUUCGAAGACCGUAGGGCCCCGCAGUCAACAGACACCGAACCGAGGACACGCAGAUGUGUUGUGGGCACUGUUGCUCAUUUUAUGUGUGUGCACUGUAACAUGUGCUGCUGCUUAA